AAAUUGAAGAGUUUGAUCAUGGCUCAGAUUGAACGCUGGCGGCAGGCCUAACACAUGCAAGUCGAGCGGAAACGACACUAACAAUCCUUCGGGUGCGUUAAUGGGCGUCGAGCGGCGGACGGGUGAGUAAUGCCUAGGAAAUUGCCUUGAUGUGGGGGAUAACCAUUGGAAACGAUGGCUAAUACCGCAUAAUGCCUACGGGCCAAAGAGGGGGACCUUCGGGCCUCUCGCGUCAAGAUAUGCCUAGGUGGGAUUAGCUAGUUGGUGAGGUAAUGGCUCACCAAGGCGACGAUCCCUAGCUGGUCUGAGAGGAUGAUCAGCCACACUGGAACUGAGACACGGUCCAGACUCCUACGGGAGGCAGCAGUGGGGAAUAUUGCACAAUGGGCGAAAGCCUGAUGCAGCCAUGCCGCGUGUAUGAAGAAGGCCUUCGGGUUGUAAAGUACUUUCAGUUGUGAGGAAGGGGGUAGUGUUAAUAGCGCUAUCU
rnacentral:rRNA from 1 species